rnacentral:rRNA from 1 species
UAGGGAAUUUUCGUCAAUGGGGGCAACCCUGAACGAGCAAUGCCGCGUGAGCGAAGAAGGUCUUCGGAUUGUAAAGCUCUGUUGCCGGGAAAAGGAAGGAAGAGGAA